GACGAACGCUGGCGGCGCGCUUAACACAUGCAAGUCGAGCGAGAACCAUGGCUUCGGCCAUGGGGACAGCGGCGAACGGGUGAGUAACACGUGGGCAAUCUGCCCUCGGCACUGGGAUAGCCCGGGGAAACCCGGAUUAAUACCGGAUAGCCUCUCGAGCUCACGGGGCUCGUGAGAAAAGAUGGCUUCGGCUUUCGGCUGAGGAGGAGCCUGCGGCGGAUUAGCUGUUGGCGGGGGUAACGGCCCACCAAGGCGACGAUCUGUAGCUGGUCUGAGAGGACGAUCAGCCACACUGGGACUGAGACACGGCCCAGACUCCUACGGGAGGCAGCAGUGGGGAAUCUUGCGCAAUGGGACGAAAGCCUGACGCAGCGACGCCGCGU
rnacentral:rRNA from 1 species